rfam:Triticum urartu cultivar G1812 contig799886, whole genome shotgun sequence.
UUAGUACUCCCUCCGUUUCAAAUUACUUAUCGUAGGUAUGAACGCAUCUAGAUGUAUUUUAGUUCUAGAUACAUCUAUUUAUACGACGAGUAAUUUGAAACGGAGGAAGUACAUC